rnacentral:rRNA from 1 species
CAGUAGCCGCGGGAAUACAGAGGGUGCGAGCGUUAAUCGGAUUUACUGGGCGUAAAGCGUGCGUAGGCGGCUUUUUAAGUCGGAUGUGAAAUCCCUGAGCUUAACUUAGGAAUUGCAUUCGAUACUGGGAAGCUAGAGUAUGGGAGAGGAUGGUAGAAUUCCAGGUGUAGCGGUGAAAUGCGUAGAGAUCUGGAGGAAUACCGAUGGCGAAGGCAGCCAUCUGGCCUAAUACUGACGCUGAGGUACGAAAGCAUGGGGAGCAAACAGGAUUAGAUACCCCAGUAGUCCCUGUCUCUUAUCA